rnacentral:rRNA from 1 species
UACGUAGGGUGCGAGCAUUGUCCGGAAUUAUUGGGCGUAAAGAGCUCGUAGGCGGUGUGUCGCGUCGGCCGUGAAAACCUGGGGCUCAACUCUGGGCGUGCGGUCGACUACGGGCAUCACUUGAGUUCGGCAGGGGAGACUGGAAUUCCUGGUGGUAGCGGUGGAAUGCGCAGAUAUCAGGAGGAACACCAAUGGCGAAGGCAGAUCUCUGGGCCGUAACUGACGCUGAGGAGCGAAAGCAUGGGGAGCGAACAGG